CCUGGAGCCGGCGAGCCGGAGCCUCAGCCCGCACCCGGCGAGAUGGCGGUAGGCCCUGGGCUUCCCUGCACUGCAGGCAGUGACGAGGCUGGGCAGCAAACAAGAAAAUGGACUCCCUCCUCCUGAAGACAAGAAUGCCAGCCACCAGCCAUGGGUGCCAGUUUGCAGCCUGUUGAAGGAAAACAACAUCAAGCUUGUGCUUCAUCCAGCCCGGCUUAGGGUGUGCCAGAAUUCAGCCAUUGCUUGGGCAGCUGCCACUAACCACUUGGAAUAGAAGGAAAAUUCUGAACCCAGGCACAUGCAUCAAGCCUGACGUCAUCCUCAGCAAGAUGUCGCAAGUUCCUAAUCUGGACGCAGAGGCCAGAGAGUUUGUGCAUCAUCUAGAGCCCAGAGUGGGCUGUUAGCCACAAACGUAGACACCUUGAAUGGAGCCUACCCACCCUGCCUUGCCUGAGGAGGGGCCAGGGCCCACUUGAUUCCCAUGAUGCACCACUGCAAACUGACGCAACCAGCUUUCAGCAGACCGUGCCAGGGAAGAAACAUUACAACAGCAUACUGCAAUACUUCCUCUGCCCAGGCAGGAGACUUCAUCGCAUCAACAAAGUUGGACUUCUCGCCCCAGAAUCUCACUCCACCAAGCUGGAAGUGCCUUUUAUCAAGACCCUUUACAGCCUCUUAGUAGAUCUGCUUCUCCCAAGAAAUUAAACCAAUGGCUUUCAAUCCUGGCUUCACAUUACAGUUAUCUAGAAUAUUGAAAGUAGUGAUGCCUGGACCUCAUCUUCACCCCAAAGAUACUGACUGAAUUGAUGUGGGCUUUUAUAAAAAAAAAAAAUUAAGUCUUUAUUGACAGAUAAUAUACAUGCAAAAAAAUAAGAGAGAGGAAAAAAAAAAACAUCAGUGUAAAGCUUGGUGAAUUUUGACAAAGUGAAUUUAUCCUAAGCUGCUUCCAGAUCAAGAAACAUCACUUGCAUCCUCUGGUGCCCCAAAGCAUAACUGCCGUUCUCAUUUCUAAUGGUAGAAAUUUAGUUUUACCUGUUUUAUGCUUUAUAUUAUGUAAGUAUAAUCAAAUAGAAUAUAUUCUUUUAUAUCUGGCUUCUUCUGCUCAACAUUGUAUUUGUGAGGUUCAUCAAAGCUAUCUUACAAUUGGCUUGUAGUUGUUGUAGCUAGUUCAUUCUCAUUGCUAUUGGGUGUUCAACCAUGUGGAUAUUCCUCUGCUUCUCUGUAUUUGACUACCUGGGUUGUAGUUGGCCAUUGGGGUUAUUAUGACUACUGCUGCCAUGAGCCUUCAUUGGUGUCUUAGAGCACAUUUGCUUGCGUUUCUGUUGGGUCCAUACUUGGACAUGGAGUUGCUGGGCAAGUAUAAAAAUCAGUCUGUACACCUUUAGAACCUUAUGCCAAAUAAUUUCCAAAGUGACUGCACCAAUUUAUACUUUCUCAGUGAUGUAUAAGAGUUCUGGUUGCUCUCUGUCUUUGCCAGUGAUUGGUGUUUUCUAACUUUUUCAUUUUAGCCAUGCUGGUGGGUGUGUGAUGAUAUCACAGUGUGGUUUUAAUUUGCAUUUCCCUAAUGACUAAUGCAGUUGAACACCUUUUCACAUGUUAGCCAUUAGAUCCUCCCUUUGCAAAGUGCCUGUUGAAGUGUUUGGACAUGAGUACUUUUAAGAUGUUCCUUAGGUGGCUCUAGUGUGCAGCCAAGGUUAAAAACCAUUGAGCUAAACCACAACUUCAUAUCUGCUGUUCUGCCUCUCAGUGUUCUGCCUUUGAGCUUAGAGCAUUUUGGAUCUGAGGGACCUAAUGGACAUGGGGAAAGAUGCCUGUUACCUGCCAUGCCACAAUGAACCUCCCAGGAAGAAGCAAGAGAUUGGAGCUAGAGUUCAGGCAGUUGAAAGUCUUUGGGAAUGUGGUCUCCACUUCAGACGGGUUCAGGGAAGGCCUGUGGUGUCCACAGCUGCCACAGGCAUUUCCUGACCACAAAAAUCACCCUUUUCCGGUCCCCUUGGAGCUCUAGGCAGUCAUGUGGAGGAAGUGGAGGGGCCCCAUGCCAGGUACUUCCCAGUUUCCAGGCCAGCAUGAGUGGGACGCAGCUUGUGUGGCAUUGUGGUCAGGCUGAGGGCAAAGGAGCAUGCGCUCCAUGUAAAGAUGAGGGAGGCCUGCUGUCUGUGGCCUCUGUUCUGGGUCAGAAGGCAGCCUGUGGGGCUCUUCCACAUGAGGCCAGGCCUGGCUAGCUCUUAAGUUCUACAGGUUUGCACAUAGGUCCCAGUUGUUUCCCUCACCUGUACUGGUCUUCUCUGUCCUCUGUGCCCCACCUUGGGGGCCCUGAUCCAGGACCUUCCUUGGCCUCCUUCCCUGUACUUAACCCCUUACUCCUCUGAACUUCUGCAGCACUUAGAGUGAGAACUCACAAUGUGGCUCCCAAUUACACCUCGCCUUCUAUUAAGUCCUCAUUGCAUCGUCUGUGCUCAUCUCCUCCCCUGCUGCAGCCUCAUCCAGGACUGCUGGACACUUCUCUGUGCUCCCCCACAGUGGGUUAAGUGGCAGUUGGUAACUCAGUGAUAAUGUCCUCCAAACUGGAAAGGAAGAUGCAAAAAAAUACAGAUCACACACAGAGUCCUUCCCUCAGCCCGGAGCUCCGCAGGUGUCAGCAGUGCUAUCCCAUGAGGGCUCCGUGUUGGCACAUGUGCUGCUCAUCUGGUAGAGGGCUCAGAUGCUGGUGCCUGACGGGGUGUGCAUGCCCUGAUGGAGUUUACCACGGUGCCCAGAGCUGGCACCAUGUGUCCUUGAAAAGAGCAGAGUCCACCUUCUGCUGACUGAAGUCCUGCCAGCUCUCUGAUGUGAGAUGAGGUCCAUGGAGGCAUGUGGGCAAAGUUGACAGUUUGGAGCCUGGUGAGCACAGAGCCAACUCUGGGCUCUUGGUUGUUCCAUGUCCCCUGGAUUCAGGCCCAUCUUGGAAAUUGCUCUGGACAUAAAGUAUUUUAUGUCCGAUAGUCCAAGUGCAGAUGCUAUGGUUCCCUUGAUUGGCCCAAAUGGUAGCCUGAACCAGCCAGCAACCAGAGUGCUGUCUGAAGCCUGGAAGAGUACUCUCCCGGCAGUGUAUGAGAGCUCCAGUUCCUUCACGUCCUUGUCAGCGACUUGCAUUUCCUAUUUUCUUCAUAUUGACCAUCCACAUAUCAUAAAGUGAGAGACCCCUCUCCUCCCAUUGACCCUGCACCCCCAUCUCUCCCCUUUCACCCAGCCCCCUAUCCAGCAGUCAAGCCCUUCAGCUCUCUCAAACCUGGGUCUUCAAACUUUCCUUCUCCCCUGGCUCCUGGAGUGCAGUACUUGGCAUGCCCCCAUCUCCAUCAUCCUGGUGAUGUUUCCCUCCAUCCCCUUCCCCAUGGAGUACAGCCGUGCUGUCUGCCUCUCAUGGCCAAGAUUCUGGAAUGAGACAUCUCCUCUCCCCUCUUUCUUCUCCUCCCCUGCUCAUUUAUUCAGCAAGUAUCCGUUUUAUCCCUGUCUGCGCUGGGCAAAGCAGGUUCAACAGUGAACGAGACUACCCGGCCCUGCUCUCAUGAAGAUUAUAGUCAAGUAGGGAAGAGAGGCAUUAAUCAUUACCAAGUGCUAAUGGAGGGGCUGCCACAGCCCAACAGCACAGACCAGUUCCUUUCUGCCCUCACACACCUGCAAACGUCUGCUCUUCUUCUGGGGCACAGCUCACAAGCCACCUCAUUUGUGCUGCCUUCUCUACGCUGUACCUGAAGACAUUGUGGCCCACUGGGCCCACAGAAGCCUUGGGUGCAACUGCUUCCCACAGAGGUUGAAAUCUGAGGGCAGAGACCAGACUACACUCACUUUAGUGCCUCCUCCUAUCUGGCACAGAGCCCAGCACAUCAGCAGUGCUCUAGAUGAAUGCAUGUCUCUGCCAAGGCUGAGCUAAAGUGUGUGAACAUCUUCAGGACCUGAGGAUCCACAUAUUUCUUCUUCCUCUUUUUUAAUAGCCUUUUGGUUCUUCGAAUCAUUGUAAUGUUUGGUCACAACAGUGAAUUUACUUAGCAAUAUUGAACUGUACAUUUAUAAAUGGUUACGAAUGUAUAUUUUGUUUUAUGUGUAUUUUACCACAAUCUAAAAAAACCAAAGUGCAAAGAUUAAGUAUUACCAAAAAAGGAAGAUAAGGUCCAUAUUAUUAAGAAAUAAGGGACAGAUGAUUUGAUUCAGGCAAAAUUGGAUUAAAAAUAAAUAUUUUGGGACUUCCCUGGUGGUUUAGUAGCUAAGACUCUGUGCUCCCAAUGCAGGGGGUCCAGGUUUGAUCCCUGGUCAAGGAACUAGAUCCCUCAUGCCACAACUAAAAAUCUUGAUCUCCAUGCUGAAACUUAGCACAGCCAAAUAAAUAAAUAUUUUAAAAAAUAACAUUUAGUUUGGAUUAGGGAAAUGCAAAUCAAAACCACA